AUCCAGCUGACGGAUCCCAAAUAGGGCGAAACGAGUGUCUUGGAU
rfam:Schistosoma haematobium scaffold62_5, whole genome shotgun sequence.